GUGUGACUUGUGGGCUUCCCUUUGUCAUCCUUUGCCCAGGGCUCUGAGUGGGGCAGGGACAGCAAAGGGGUGCUCAGUCGUCACCUCC
rnacentral:pre_miRNA from 1 species